GCUUACGGCCAUACCACCUUGGGCACGCCCGAUCUCGUCUGAUCUCGGAAGCUAAGCAGGGUCGGGGCCAAUGAGGAAGUGAUACGCC
rnacentral:rRNA from 10 species